rnacentral:rRNA from 1 species
UACAGAGGGGGCAAGCGUUGUUCGGAAUUACUGGGCGUAAAGGGCGCGUAGGCGGCCUGUUAAGUCGAACGUGAAAUCCCCGGGCUCAACCCGGGAACUGCGUCCGAUACUGGCAGGCUUGAAUUCGGGAGAGGGAUGUGGAAUUCCAGGUGUAGCGGUGAAAUGCGUAGAUAUCUGGAGGAACACCGGUGGCGAAGGCGGCAUCCUGGACCGAUAUUGACGCUGAGGUGCGAAAGCGUGGGGAGCGAACAGG